rnacentral:lncRNA from 1 species
GAAAGUAGGCAUUUAUCCCAGAUCUGGCAUAUUUUUACCAAAGAAAAAAUUUGUAUGUUUACACUACAAUAUUUCACUGCCACAACAUUCUGAUUUUUGUUGUUGUUGUUGUUGCUUGGAUACAAGCAGAAAGAAAACUGGUGGCGGGUCACACAUAUCUGCGAUUACCUGUAAUGACAACAGUAGAUGUUUAAAUAAAAUCAAAACUGCAGUUGCUGCUGAUUAUGAACAAUAAAGUUGGUCCUUUACACGGGGUGUCAUCCGCAGUACAGUAGCUACUACAUGUCAAAAACAGUAGGUUUGUGUUUCGUCUUUUAAAGGUUUCUUUUUGAUAGCAUCAGAAUAGCACAGAGAGGGGAAAUUUCAUGGAGGUUUUCCCUAAAGAAUUAUGGUUUUGCAGUAGCACUAAUUUAUCAUCCAAGAGACCAGUUCAUAAAAUAAAAAUGUAAUAAAACAUAAUGGGGAAUGGUUUUUCCUCAUCCCUCCACAUAGCUCUUAUUAACAUUAAUGGGAAUUGUACGUGAUUUGGGGAAGGGGAGGCUGCCUGGUAUUUCCAAAGGGUUUAUAUGUAGACAGAUUGAAUGAGAGGGUCCCAUGUGAUUUCUUCCAGCACAAUAUAGAAUAAAGGGAGGGACACAGGGCCUCUCUUUGGAGAAUACUAUGCUUUUUGUUGGCAUAAUUUGAUUUAUUUUCCUGUUCAGAAGUGUGAGGACAGAGCAGGAAAACCAUGAGGCACGGAGAAAGGAAGGUGCUGUUUUAUUAUUAAAGUCUAAUGUGCUGUGAAUAAGUUCACUUAUAAUAAGAAGUUCAAAAUACCCCCUCUUAAAAUGGAUCUAUUUUUUCUUGAUUUAGUAUUCCACAUGGCAUAUUUUACCUCCAGUUCUGACGACAUAUAGAAAACAUCUCAGAGGGAAUAAAAGUAAUGAUUUUUCUCUCCCUAAUUGAAUCAGACCUUAAAGUCUCUCUGGAAUUAAAGGCAAUAGUCUUUAGCAUUUGCUUUUUCUUACUUGGUGAGUAUUGUCCAUGAGGUUGUGAGUAUUACUAAGCUAGUAAUAUUAUUGGUUUUUAAUUAAAA